rnacentral:rRNA from 1 species
CCGGCGAUGUCCGAAUGGGGAAACCCAGUGCAAUUCGUUGCACUAUCGUUAACUGAAUACAUAGGUUAACGAGGCGAACCGGGGGAACUGAAACAUCUAAGUACCCCGAGGAAAAGAAAUCAACCGAGAUUCCCCCAGUAGCGGCGAGCGAACGGGGAGCAGCCCAGAGUCUGAAUCAGCUUGUGUGUUAGUGGAACGGUCUGGAAAGUCCGACGGUACAGGGUGAUAGUCCCGUACACCAAAAUGCACAGGCUGUGAACUCGAAGAGUAGGGCGGGACACGUGGUAUCCUGUCUGAAUAUGGGGGGACCAUCCUCCAAGGCUAAAUACUCCUGACUGACCGAUAGUGAACCAGUACCGUGAGGGAAAGGCGAAAAGAACCCCGGCGAGGGGAGUGAAAAAGAACCUGAAACCGUGUACGUACAAGCAGUGGGAGCACCUUCGGGUGUGACUGCGUACCUUUUGUAUAAUGGGUCAGCGACUUAUAUUCUGUAGCAAGGUUAACCGUAUAGGGGAGCCGCAGGGAAACCGAGUCUUAACUGGGCGUUAAGUUGCAGGGUAUAGACCCGAAACCCGGUGAUCUAGCCAUGGGCAGGUUGAAGGUUGGGUAACACUAACUGGAGGACCGAACCGACUAAUGUUGAAAAAUUAGCGGAUGACUUGUGGCUGGGGGUGAAAGGCCAAUCAAACCGGGAGAUAGCUGGUUCUCCCCGAAAGCUAUUUAGGUAGCGCCUCGUGAAUUCAUCUUCGGGGGUAGAGCACUGUUUCGGCUAGGGGGUCAUCCCGACUUACCAACCCGAUGCAAACUACGAAUACCGAAGAAUGUUAUCACGGGAGACACACGGCGGGUGCUAACGUCCGUCGUGAAGAGGGAAACAACCCAGACCGCCAGCUAAGGUCCCAAAGUCAUGGUUAAGUGGGAAACGAUGUGGGAAGGCACAGACAGCCAGGAUGUUGGCUUAGAAGCAGCCAUCAUUUAAAGAAAGCGUAAUAGCUCACUGGUCGAGUCGGCCUGCGCGGAAGAUGUAACGGGGCUAAACCAUGCACCGAAGCUGCGGCAGCGACACUAUGUGUUGUUGGGUAGGGGAGCGUUCUGUAAGCCUGCGAAGGUGACCUGUGAGGGUUGCUGGAGGUAUCAGAAGUGCGAAUGCUGACAUAAGUAACGAUAAAGCGGGUGAAAAGCCCGCUCGCCGGAAGACCAAGGGUUCCUGUCCAACGUUAAUCGGGGCAGGGUGAGUCGACCCCUAAGGCGAGGCCGAAAGGCGUAGUCGAUGGGAAACAGGUUAAUAUUCCUGUACUUGGUGUUACUGCGAAGGGGGGACGGAGAAGGCUAUGUUAGCCGGGCGACGGUUGUCCCGGUUUAAGCAUGUAGGCUG